CUAAGCUAGUGGGGGCAAAGUUUCAGUGCAUUCCGUUGAUGUAGACGGCGUGAAAACGUAAAGAACAAGUAUGCCGGCUCACUGUGCUGCAUACAGUUACACACUACGUCGUACGAUUGAGACAAGGAAACUUGGAAUGACUUUUCAUAGGUUUCCCAGAGACUAUGGGUUGAGGAGGAAUUGGAAGUCUGUCGGCUUAGACCUGGUGUCAUUCCAUCAUUGUUAAACUUCCCGGCUCAUCUUGGAAGAGUACGUGCCAGAAAGACCACAACCAAGCAGCCUUGAGAUCUUAGGCAGCGUCUCCCUGAGGUGGGUGUCGACAGUGUUCACAGUCAGGUCUGUGGUAAUCCCAUCAAAAAACAAAAACAGAAAAAAAAUCUAGAUUAUAAAUCAACAUGUAACCAAAGCACUCUGUGUAUAACGCCAUAGUAUAGGAUGUAGUUCAGAAAAUGUCAAAGUAUAGUAUACUUUACUCAAGAAUAACAUAGUAUGGCCUGUAGUUCAUAGUACAGCAUGUUGGCAAGAAAAACCCAUAGAUUAUUAUGUGGUUCAAAAGCGCAAAAUGAUAGGAUGUUGCCUAAAAUUGUCAUGUAUGAUGUUCAAUUCAAUUCAAUUCAAUUCAAUUCAAUUCAAUUCAAUUCAAUUCAAUUUUAUUUAUAUAGCACCAAUUACAGUCAAAUUGUCUCGAGACGCUUUACAGAAUCCAUAUGCCUGACCCCCAGAGCAAGCCAAAAGGCGACAGUGGCAAGGAAAACACCCUUUUAACAGGGAAAAAAACCUCGAGCAGAACCCGGCUCUAAUGUGGGGGGACCCAUCUGCCUGCUGGCCGGGCGGGUUGAGAGGAACAGAAGAGGUAGAGAGGUAGAGAUAGAGGGAUAGAGAUAGAGGGGAAGAGGUAAAGGGAGAGAGGUAGAGGGUUACAGUUGGUGGGAGAACAAUCACACAUCUGAAGCAUCCAGCUCUGGGACCAGGGACACUCGGAGAAAGGACACAGGGAGAAACAGAGUUAGUGUAAUGCAAUAAUGGUAUAUAUAUUAAAUACAUAGGUAGAUAGAGAAGGGCUCAGUGCAUCCAGAGAGGUUCCCCAGCAGCCUAGGCCUAUAGCAGCAUAACUAGGGGCAAACUAAAGGGAAGUAAAGAGGGGAAGUCAGUUGCGCAAAUGAAAACACCAGCUCACCCCGUCAGGGUCCCCCAGUCAGCCCUAACUAUAAGCUUUGUCAAAAAGGAAGGUUUUAAGCCUGGUCUUAAAAAUAGAGAGGGUGUCCGCCUCCUGAACCCAAACUGGGAGCUGGUUCCACAGGAGAGGCGCCUGAUAACUGAAGGCUCUGCCUCCCAUUCUACUUUUAGAGAUCCUAGGAACAACAAGUAAGCCUGCAGUCUGAGAGAGAAGAGUUCUGCUAGGAUAAUAUGGUACUAUCAGGUCUUUAAGAUAUGAUGGAGAUUGGUUGUUAAGCACUUUAUAUGUCAGAAGAAGGAUUUUGAAUUCUGUUCUAGAUUUAACAAGAAGUCUGAGGAACUCCAUGAUUAACCCUAGUAUGCUCAGAAGAGUCAUUGUUGACAUGCACAAACUGGAACCUGUCUGAUAAGUAGGAUUUAAACCAGUCCAGUGCUGUCCCUUUAAUGCCAAUAGAAUGUUCUAGUCGCUGUAAUAAAAGUUUGUGGUCGAUUGUAUCGAAUGCUGCACUAAGGUCCAAUAAAAUAAGUAUAGAGACCAGUCCAUUAUCUGACGCUAUGAGAAGGUCAUUAGUAACUUUCACCAGAGCUGUUUCUGUGCUAUGAUGCACUCUGAAGCCUGACUGAAACUCUUCAAACAGGCUAUUCCUUUGCAAAUGUUCAAAUAAUUGAUUUGCAACUGUUCUUUCCAGAAUUUUAGAGAGAAAUGGGAGGUUGGAAAUUGGUCUAUAGUGGGCUAAAACAUCUGGAUCUAGAGUGGGCUUUUUAAGUAAAGGUUUGAUUACAGCAACCUUAAAAGCCUGUGGUACAUAGCCUGUUACUAGAGAGAGAUUGAUCAGAUCUAACAUUGAGGAAUUAAUUAAAAGUAAAGCCUCCUUGAACAGUCUAGCUGGGACAGGAUCUAAAAGACAUGUCGAUGGUUUGGAUAUAGAAACUAUUGAAAUUAGUUCAGAGAGAUGUAUAGGAGUGAAAAAUUCUAAAUAUCCAUCUGGUCUUACAGCCAAUUCUAAAGCAUCUGUACUCGAUGAUACAUCUGUGACAUUUGCAGGAAGGGCCAGAUUAAUUUUUUCUCUAAUCGUAAUAAUUUUAUUUGUAAAGAAGCUCAUGAAGUCGUUACUGCUCAAAGCUAAAGGAAUACAAGGUUGAACAGAGCUCUGACUCUUUGUCAGCCUGGCUACAGUGCUGAAGAGAAACCUGGGGUUGUUCUUGUUUUCCUCUAUUAAAGAUGAAUAAUACGUUGUCCUGGCAUUACGAAGAGCUUUUUUAUAAAUUACUAGACUUUUUUUCCAAGCUACAUAAACUUCCUCUAAAUUAGUGGAGUACCACUUCCUUUCCAGCUUUCGGGACGCCUGCUUUAAAGUCCACAGCUGGGAAUUAUACCAAGGAGCAGGUCCUCUCUGAGAUAGAACUUUCUUUUUUACAGGUGCAACACUAUCAAGUGUUGUACGCAGUGAGGCUGCAGCAUUAUUAACAAUAUAAUCCACUUUUGUGGGGGUAAAUUUAUAAUAUUUCCCUUCCAUUUUAUCAGUAAGUGGUGCUGAAGUAAAUAGAGAGGGUAUUAUUUCCUUAAAUUUAGUCACCGAAUUGUGAGACAGACAUCUACUGUAAUGAUAUUUAUUCUUAACUCCUAUACAUUCUAUUGUUGUAAAUUGAAAUGUUAUCAUAAAAUGGUCAGAAAGAAGAGGGUUCCGGGGAAAUACUGUUAACUGUUCGAUUUCUAUGCCAUAAGUCAGAACGAGGUCAAGGGUGUGAUUAAAACUAUGAGUUGGUUGAUUUACAUGUUGAGAAAACCCGAUUGAGUCUAAUAUUGAAUUAAAAGCAGUCGUAAGGCUGUCACUGUCCACGUCAACAUGAAUGUUGAAGUCACCCACAAUAAUCACUUUAUCUGAGCUGAACACUAAAUCAGAUAAAAAGUCUGAGAAUUGAGAUAAAAACUCAGAGUAAGGAGCAGGAGGACGAUAUACAACAACAAAUAAAACUGGUUUCUGAGCUUUUAAAUCUGGAUGAGAGAGACUGAGUAAGAUUUUCAAAUGAACUGUAACUAGGUUUAGGUCUCUGGUUCAUUUUUAAGCUAGAGAGGUAAAUUGCUGCCACUCCUCCUCCUCGGCCUGUGAGUCGAGGAACAUGACAGUUAGUAUGACUAGUAGGAGUUGAUUCAUUUAGACUAACAUAUUCUUCCUGCUGCAACCAGGUUUCAGUCAAACAGAACAAAUCAAUCUGGUUAUCAGUUAUCAAAUCAUUUACUAACAGAGAUUUAGACGAGAGAGAUCUAAUAUUUAAUAGACCACAUUUAAUUGUCCUGUUUCUUCGCUCAGUUGAAAUAGUGGUAUUAAUUUUUAUUAGAUUUUUAUGGUUACUAUGUCUUUUGUUUAUUUUUGAAUUGUUUAAUUUAUUGAAUUUUGGUUGCUAGGGGACGGCUAGCAGAAGCUACACUAGCAGAAGCUACACUAGCAGCUAUAUUAUUGCGGUCCGCACCGGCUAAGGGGACCUGGCUAACAGCUAGCGGGGUGUUUUCCAUGGUGCGGAGCCGCGCUUCCAAUUCAGAGAGCCUCGCCUCCAAAGCUACAAAGAGACUGCAUUUAUUACAGGUAUCGUUAUCACUAAAGGAGGCAGAGGAGUGACUAAACGUGACACACUGAGCAGGAAAGAGAAGGAGAGGAAGAGGGAGAAGCCAUGCUAAGUGCUAGGCUAGCGGACAGAGAUAACAGAUUAACUUAGAAUUAAGUACUGAGAAGGUGCUUGAAGAAAACGAGUGUAUGUUACGAUUCAAAUAUUACCGCUACACACAGAUUUAAUGAAUAUCAAAUUAGAUGGAGUGGAUAAGCUACAACAGUCACAGAACACAACACAGCGCUAUAACAGGAAGUGACGAAAUGCGCUCACCGUAACGUCAGACGUCGGAGCCUAAAGCAGAAGAGCACAGCAGGUUCUGCUCCUCUCACCUAAGACCAUUACACUGGUUCAAAAAAUGUCAUAGUGCAAUAUAAUGUCAAAAUAGUAUGUUCUUCAAGAAAACAUCAGAGUAUAAUAUGUUGUCUAAAAAAUGCCACAGAAUAUUUCAUUGCACAAGUAAAAGUAUAGUAAGUUUUAAAACUGCUCAAAUUCUUAUAAUAUGUUGCUAAAAAACAAAAAAAAAUAAUUAAAAAAAAGUCAGUAAUAUGUCAAUUGAAAAAGCCUAUAGUAUAGUGUGUCGCCCAACAAACAUCAUAGUAUAGCAUGUCGCUCUAAAAACGUCAGAGUAUAGCCUUUAGUCCACAGCUGUCAGUAGGUGAGGUGCAACACAAAAACAGUCCAAACGCUGGUUUCCAGAGGGUUAGAUGAGAAUUUAUUUGAAAGAGGAAGUUUACAACAACACAACAUGUGAGGGGGUUAAAAACAAAUGGGUGUUAGUAAAAUAAAAAUAAAUAAACAACUAAAAGUGAACUUCAUGUUGACAUUGAUGGGCAUUCCAACCAGGAACAAAGUAAAAGAUAAUCAAUACCUCUUAAAACCCAAAAACACACCGCAGUAGCACCCUAAACUAAAACUACCAAUGGGUUCCCUGUUUUCCUUUCUGAAUAAUUCAACAGUCCCUCUCUAUCUCCCUAUACAUCCACCAACCACUGGAACACAUCUCCAAAGUUCUGCCGGGCCAGCUCAGCUUCCCCUCAGAAGAAGUGCCGCCACCUGCCAGAUGAAGGAGCCUUUUGAGAGGCAGCUGGCAUCGUGAUUGGACUGUACUUUGGUCUGUUCCAAUCCAGCUUCAGCUCCAGAGACGGCAGGCGGGACGAGUCAACGGAGGCCGGGUGGACGAAGGCAUGCAGCUGAGUACAAUCCAGAAAACAACAGAGGAGGAGUGAAGCGGCCCAGAGCCAGAACAAACAGAACCAAAGAACUACAGACUCUUCACAACCUGCUCAAACUCUUGGUACAGGACCUCACCACACGAGUCAAGAAGGUUUCUGUCUCAUUUCUACUCUGAAGCUCACCUUCUCCUGCUCAAACUGCUGACAAAUGUUUCUGCUGCUCUAAAGUCUGCUCUCCAGAACUUCCUAAAAACUCUCAAAGUCUCUUCUGCUGCAGGUUGCUUUGUAGAACUGUUCCAGAAAACCUCACUAAACCACAUGGAGGGGCCUCAAGAUAGUCGUCCAAAUGAAACCAUACAAAAACCAAACUAGCACAACCCAAACGCUAAAGUCUCCUGCAGCCUACCAGAGAACCUCUGAGAACAGAGAAUCAGGACAGGAACUCUUACCUUCUGGACAACCAACGCUGGUUCUCAAACAAGAAUACAGAAUGUGUCUGACCAAAAACCUCUAAAGACUCACUACAGCCAAGAUAAAGACACAACUCAGCUGUACCAAAUCCACUAAUCACUGCACACAUUAGCACCAUGUGCUAACUGUGGGUAAAGAACCACAUUUACCAAGACAACUAUCCAAUACAAAGCCCUAAAACACACCAAGAAACACAUUAAAGUCUAUUUUACUGCUGGAAGCUGCAAGCCAACGCCUAAAGAACAGACUAAAGCAAUGGAGCCAAACCCGGUUGUGUGGUGGAGAGAAGCAGAGGAAAUGUUUGUCUGCAGCUAAAUAAAGCAGGAAGACACUGAGCUGCUCAGGUGUUCCUGAUAACACCAAGCAGCCACCUGGACAGCCAAUCGGAACACAGCUUACUGGAAGUCCAGAGGGCUGGGUUAGUCAAGUAAAUUUAAAGUUGAAGCAGAAAGUUAACAAAGAAAGUUGAAAACCACCUUCUGAUACCAGAAAUCUCUGAGUUUUCUCACAAAGAACACCUGAACAUGUCAAACUGGUUCCAUAGUAGAACCAUCAUUGUAAAAACGUUAUAGUAUGGUGUGUUGCUCAAAAAACAUUCUGACCCGGCUGUCGGGACAAACAUGUAAGAACCAUGAGAACAGAGAGAACCCAACCAGUAGGUCACAGUUUAUCAUCCCCCAGUCAUCUCCUGAAGUCCAUAUGGUGAGAGACAUCAGUAUCUGGUUGUUCAUUUACCAGAGGAUGCUUAUAAUCAUGCUGAUGUGGUCUGUACUCUACAGUAUUUUAGUGACUCAAUAAAUGCCUAAGUUGUUUUCUUAAAAUGAUUUUUAGUUUUUAAUAAACAUUUAUUAGCCUCUAUGUAAUCAAUAAAUGGCCUUUGUCUAUCUUAAGAAAAACUCACUCAGAACUCUGAUAUGUUAACAGUACUAAAUAAAUCAAUAAAUACAUGCAUACACACAUAAGUUAAUACAUUAACUGUGUUAAGAUAAGAUUUAGAUUUUUUUUUUUAAAAAGUUGUUUAUGUUUUUGCAGAAUCCAGUAUUGCUCACUGGUUGGUCAUUACAUUUUAUUAGUUUGAUUUCACUGUUUAAAAUGAUGCCACCUCUUUUCAGACAGAACCUGUGAUAAUAAAUCAAUACAAAAUUUUUAGUUCCGUGUUAAUAAAGCACUUAAAGCUUUAAGUAUGGCUAAAUGCUUUUUUCAAAAUUAAAUAUAUCACUCCUUAGGUGGUAGUGGCCCCAAGUUCAGUAAAGUUGGAAAGAUAUUCACAGAUUCAGACUUCCAGCAUCAAUAACUCAUUAGAUAUAGGUUGUCAAAACAUAAACGGUGCCUCUUUCCCAUUGUUGCGAGGCAGACAAUGUGCUACAAGCCCAGUUUUAUCAAAAGUAGCUGUCUUUCAAGCUACUGGAAUAACAUUGGUGUCUAUGGAGUGAACAGGGUCCGUCUGCAAUUUGCAAAACCGCUGCAACAGUAAAGAGAGACAAAUAUUCAAUAACUUCACUCUUCUACAUUGUAGUGUCACUAAAAUCACUGCAGCCUUCAACUGGCUCCUGUUGACAAAGUGUUUUAACAGAAAUGUAAAUGCUGUAAUUUAAUUCUUUUAAUGAACCAUGUAACUUGAAUGGAUGUGAUGCUGGUGUGACCACAGUGCACACGUCUGAUGUUGCUCACAGUGGUCCAAGGGACGCUCAGGGAGUUUGUGUGUUUGCUCACACUCAGGAAAAAUUAGAGGGAACAUUGGUUGGGUGGCUCAUAGUUUUCAUUUUUUUUUCUCCUUUAGAAACUUCUGUGUGUGCUUUGGAUCACUGUUAUGCUGGAAUAUUCCUCUUCUGCAGACUGGUACCUUCUGCACUCAUUCAGCCUCAUAUCAUGACGCUCUGUUCUUCACUGGCAGGACAAUGCAUUCAUUGUGGUUGUCCACACGUUCACGUCAAACAUGCUAGACAUCUGAGCUCAACAAAUUUAUCUUGGUCUCAUCUGACCAAAUAAUAUGCUCUCAAUAUUAAUCAGGCUUCUUCUUACAUCCCUUAGCAAAGUUGACUUUUGCAAAUUUGUAUUGCAGCAAGCAAAGGUGUUUUUGUUGAACAUCUUUAGUUAUACAAUGUCCAUCACACUGUCUGAGCUGUCAGGAAGUCUGACUUCAAAAGAGAACCUCUGCACCAAGUCUGAAGUAUGAACUGUCUGAACUGUGUUUUAGUUGAUCGCCAAUUGUCCUGUAUUCUUUUCAAUAUUUCUGAAGUCUCACAAUCACAUUUUUCAGUUCCUCUGGCAAUUAAUUUCAGUCUGGAGCCAUGAUGCGGACAUGCAUAUAUACACAAUCUAAAGGUCUCAAACCGAGGAAGCUCUGGGUAGAUUUUAUAACAAUGUUCAUGCAAUUAGGCUAACUGGAAGUCACAGAAGUAGUCAGUUUAGUUUCAGUGAUCACAGGUUCUGUCUUACUGCAUUGGGUUCCUACUUUGUGGCCUGUAUUUUCAAUAUGUCCUCUCUAAACCAUUUGUUUUUGAUUGUGUGCAGGAAGAAAUACUCUUGUCAACUUAGAAAUAAUGCAGUUAUUGAGAGGUGAUUCCAUUUGAAUCAUUUGAUAUUUAGGUGAUAGUGCACAGUGGCGUACUCACCUCUGUUGUAUACUGUUUAUUUGUGCUUUUUAUGUCAAUAUCAAUAAAUGGGUCAUAAAAUAUGAAUAUUUUAAUGUUAGAGUGUCACAAAUAGAGAGUUGAAUAGAUAAAAGCUUGCUGAAGGUAUUUCUGUAUUUAUUUAUUUUUUUUAACAUUUUAAAAUCUUCCAGAAUAAGCAAUGAGUUAUCCCUUUGGCCUUAAGAACAGCAGACUUCCGUAGCCUAAUGACGUUUGAUGCUGUAUAACACAGCUCUCACACCCUAUUAAGACUGACAGGUGAACAAGUGAGUAAGAGAACAGUAUGAACUGAAUCCGUCAUCACAAUACAAUGUGACGAGAAAGCUUCUCAGUGACCUACCGCCUUUCUUAACUGGGGAGUUUACAAUCUGACAUGCAGGCUUCUCCCUGGUGACUGCACAGCUGCAGUCCUGUAAACACUUGCGCUGCCUAUAAAUCGGUUUCACCCACUCUUUUCCCUCAUUCUCUCUCUGAAACACACACAUAUCAAAAUAAGAUAAACACCCCAAAACCCAAAACAGUCUACGUCACUUCCCCUCUUGUCUGCUUGCUGUAAUGUAUUUGGCAGAUGACGCAUGUGUUUGUGUUACAUCUUCUUGCAGUUGUGAAAUGUGUGUAUUUUAGAAGUGGAAGCCUGAAUGGGAACACGUGGAGGGUUUCGGUAAAUGGCUUUGUCCAGACAUGACAAAGCUUAAUUACUGAUACUUUUUACUGUUUUUGUCAAAUCAUCCUGAGGCGUUUUAUUGUACUGAGACAUGUUAGAAAGUAGUGACAUGUAAUAAAAGUAUUUUCAAUUAUGUACACUUAAGCAAUAAAUGCAUUUUCAUAUAUUGUACAUACAUUAGAACACUGUAUACACACUAUCGUUCAGAUAUAUAUCAAUAAAAUACAAUGCUUACAGGGGUAAAUAAUACAAUUUGGGGUAAUGUAAAAUUAAUAUAUAUGUGGCUUUUUGUAACUUUCCAGUUGGUUCUGAGGAAUUCUAACCCACCUGACUCCGUGGGAGUCUAAAAACACAACUUAACGAGCAACUCUUACUGUAAACGGCAGCGAGAAGCCCAUACAUAGUGUGAGAAUGCAGGUUCUUC